GCCGCGUGAGUGAUGAAGGUCUUCGGAUUGUAAAGCUCUGUCUUUAGGGACGAUAAUGACGGUACCUAAGGAGGAAGCCACGGCUAACUACGUGCCAGCAGCCGCGGUAAUACGUAGGUGGCAAGCGUUAUCCGGAUUUACUGGGCGUAAAGGGAGCGUAGGCGGAUAUUUAAGUGGGAUGUGAAAUACCCGAGCUUAACUUGGGAGCUGCAUUCCAAACUGGAUAUCUAGAGUGCAGGAGAGGAGAAUGGAAUUCCUAGUGUAGCGGUGAAAUGCGUAGAGAUUAGGAAGAACACCAGUGGCGAAGGCGAUUCUCUGGACUGUAACUGAACGCUGAGGCUCGAAAGCGGUGGGGAGCAAACAGGAUUAGAUUACCCUGGUAGUCCACGCCAUAAACGAUGAAUACUAGGUGUAGGGGCCCCAAGCCUCUGUGCCGCCGCUAACGCAUUAAGUAUUCCGCCUGGGGAGUACGGUCGCAAGAUUAAAACUCAAAGGAAUUGACGGGGACCCGCACAAGCAGCGGAGCAUGUGGUUUAAUUCGAAGCAACGCGAAGAACCUUACCUAGACUUGACAUGUCUUGAAUUACCAGUAAUGUGGGAAGUUCCUUCGGGAACAGGAACACAGGUGGUGCAUGGUUGUCGUCAGCUCGUGUCGUGAGAUGUUGGGUUAAGUCCCGCAACGAGCGCAACCCUUAUUGUUAGUUGGUACCAUUAAGUUGACCACUCUAGCGAGACUGCCCGGGUUAACCGGGAGGAAGGUGGGGAUGACGUCAAAUCAUCAUGCCCCUUAUGUCUAGGGCUACACACGUGCUACAAUGGCAAGUACAAAGAGAAGCAAUACUGUGAAGUGGAGCAAAACUCAAAAACUUGUCUCAGUUCGGAUUGUAGGCUGAAACUCGCCUACAUGAAGCUGGAGUUGCUAGUAAUCGCGAAUCAGAAUGUCGCGGUGAAUACGUUCCCGGGUCUUGUACACACCGCCCGUCACACCAUGAGAGUUGGCAAUACCCGAAGUCCGUAAGCUAACCGUAAGGAGGCAGCGGCCGAAGGUAGGGUCAGCGAUUGGGGUGAAGUCGUAACAAGGUAGCCGUAGGAGAACCUGCGGCUGGAUCACCU
rnacentral:rRNA from 2 species